CGGGGAGCCGUAAGACAGGUGCUGCAUGGGCUGUCGUCAGCUCGUGUCGUGAGAUGUUGGUUAAGUCCCGCAACGAGCGCAACCCCUAUCCUCAGUUGCCAUCAUUAAGUUGGGCACUCUGUGGAGACUGCCGGUGUCAAACCGGAGGAAGGUGGGGAUGACGUCAAGUCCUCAUGGCCCUUAUGACCAGGGCUACACACGUGCUACAAUGGCCGGUACAAAGAGUUGCGAUACCGCGAGGUGGAGCUAAUCUCAUAAAGCCGGUCUCAGUUCGGAUUGGAGUCUGCAACUCGACUCCAUGAAGUUGGAAUCGCUAGUAAUCGCGGAUCAGCAUGCCGCGGUGAAUACGUUCCCGGGCCUU
rnacentral:rRNA from 1 species